AUGGAUCGAGGUUGGAUGAGUCAACCAAGAGCUAGUGCUGCUUACAAAGAUGGUGUCGAGCAAUUUCUGACUUUUGCAUUCCGUGAUGUUCCGGCUGGUGAUAGAAUUCUUUGUCCUUGUGUAAAUUGCCGAAAUAAAGCUAUGCAGAGUUAUGAUGGAGUGAAGACUCACUUGAGAUGUGAUGGUAUUCUUCAAGGUUACACUAAGUGGGUUUGCCAUGGAGAGGAUUACAGUGAACCAUCAUUUGCAUUUGCUCAUGUAUCAGAUAACAGUGGCAAUCUUUCUAUUCCUGGCAUCCCAAGGAAUGUUGUUGGAGAAAGCAGCCAUGGAAGGUUGGAUGACAUGCCAGGACUCUUAAGUGUCGUCUUUGCUAUGGCUAACAGUUGUGAAUCUUUAUCAAGCACAUCUGAUGGUGAAUUAGAUGGCCUUGAAUUUGAGAAUAUGGAACCAAAUUCAGUUGAGGAUGAGAAUGCAGAUGCUCAAACAAGUAAGAAACCUGAUACAUAUGCAAGCUUCUUGGAGGAUGCAAACACAGAGUUAUACCCUGGAUGUAAUGCAUUUUCUAAGUUGUCAUUUCUCAUCACCUUGUAUCACAUGAAAUGCUUACAUGGAUGGACACAAGAAUCAUUUACAACGCUACUUGGUGUUUUGUCUGAUGCACUUCCAGAGGCACAAAUACCAAAGAAGUACUAUGAGGUACAAAAAAUCAUUCGUGGCUUAGGGCUUGACUAUGAGAAAAUCCAUGCAUGCCCCAAUGACUGUAUGCUUUUCCGAGGUGAACGAGCUGAUCAAGACUCUUGCCAUGUGUGUGGCAGCUCGCGUUGGGUUACAGAUGACAAGAAAGACUCCCAAGCUGAAUCUGUAUCUAAGCAAUCUAAGCAAAAGAAGAAACCAGCCAAGGUGUUGCGUUACUUUCCUUUGAUACCGAGGAUUCAAAGGCUCUUUGCAACAACAAAAACAUCUGAUGACAUGCGUUGGCACGACGAGGGUCGUACCAAAGAUGGAAAGAUACGGCAUCCGGCUGAUGCCGAGUGUUGGAAAGAUCUUGAUGCUAGAUACCCCGAUUUUGCUGCUGAUCCUCGUAAUCCGCGCCUUGGCAUUGGAAGUGAUGGAGUUAACCCUUUCCGGAGUAUGAGUUCAAAACAUAGUACCUGGCCAGUGAUGCUUAUCCCGUACAACCUACCGCCUUGGAUUUGCAUGAAAGAAACAUCUCUAAUUUUAUCAAUGAUCAUUCCUGGACCAGCUUCCCCUGGGAAUGACAUUGAUAUAUAUUUGCAGCCACUGAUUGAUGAGCUCUUACAAUUAUGGGAUGGUGUAGACACAUUUGACGCUUCCUCGCAGGAGACAUUUCCUCUCAAGGCUGCACUAUUAUGGACUUUAAAUGAUUUUCCGGCAUUAGCUUACCUGUACGGUUGGAGCACAAGUGGUAAAUAUGGGUGUCCAUCAUGUGGUCCUUCUACAAGAUCAUUUCGCCUAAAUAAGAGUAUGAAACUUUGUUAUAUGGGCCACCGUCGCUGGUUACCACAGGGUCACAUAUUUCGAAACCGAAGGAGGCAAGAGUUUGAUGGCACUAAAGAGACUGAACUGGCACCGACAACUAUGAGUGGUACUUCAGCUUUGAAAAUGUUGCAAGGCAGAGUGUUUGUGUUAGGCAAAAAAGCCAAUGUAGCCAAGAAAGCAAAGGGCGGAAAGAAG
rnacentral:rRNA from 1 species